rnacentral:lncRNA from 1 species
CCGCCUUAUAAAUUCCCCUUAAGCAUGAGAUGAAUAUAUCAAAGAACUGUAUUAGCAGCCAACCUGAAGAGGCCCUGAUGAUAAGUAUCUGUGCACAUCUUUAUCCUUGUGGUUUUGUGAUGAACCAAAUUCGGUUAUGGUUCAGGUUACUUUGUUAUGCCCACUUCUUUUAAGAAGUUCGUAUCUCACCAUCUUCGCUAUUUUGUAAAACCAAAACACACUAACCGCUAGCAACCCCAAUGCCAUUGCCUGAAAUUUGAUGACAUGAACGAUUUUAGUGUUGGACUAAU